CUCCCCGAAAUAGCUUUAGGGCUAGCGUCAUGCGUUCAGUAACGGAGGUAGAGCACUGGAUGGGCUAGGGGGCUUACUGCUUACCGAACCCAACCAAACUCCGAAUGCCGUUACUCCAGAGCAUGGCAGUCGGACUACGGGAGAUGAGUUUCGUAGUCGAGAGGGAAAGAGCCCAGACCAUCGGCUAAGGUCCUCAAGUCUAGACUAAGUGGGAAACGAUGUGAGACUACUGUGACAACCAGGAGGUUGGCUUAGAAGCAGCCACCCUUUAAAGAGUGCGUAACAGCUCACUGGUCAAGUGGUCUUGCGCGGAAAAUGUAACGGGGCUAAGUCUAGCACCGAAGCCAUGGGUCUCUUCAAUGUUUCGACAUUGAAGGGGCAGUAGGGGAGCGUUCUGUCUGCUGUGAAGGUCGACCGUGAGGACGGCUGGAGCGGGCAGAAGUGAGAAUGCAGGCAUGAGUAGCGUAAAACACGUGAGAACCGUGUUCGCCGUAAGUCUAAGGUUUCCGACGGCAGGUCAAUCCGCGUCGGGUUAGUCGGUCCUUAGCCGAGGCCGUAAGGCGUAGGCGAUGGACAUCCGGUCAACAUUCCGGAACCACCUAGGUUGAGCGAUGGAAGGACGCAGUUUGGUAAGCCAGCCUGCGAUUGGUUGUGCAGGUGUAAGUGUGUAGGCGUUGACGCCGGCAGGUAAAUCCACCGGCUGAGCUGAGGCACGAAUGCGAGCCCCUGAGGCGUAAGUGGCCCAGCCAAGCUGCCUAGAAAAGUUUCUAAGCUAUGACAUCUAGGUGACCGUACCGCAAACCGACACUGGUAGACGGGUAGAGUAUACCAAGGCGAACGGGAGAACCUUCGUUAAGGAACUAGGCAAAUUAGCCCCGUAACUUCGGGAGAAGGGGUGCCCUCAGACGUGAUACCGCUGGCCGGUUUAGCGUCAGAGGGUCGCAGUGAAAUGGCUCUGGUGACUGGUUAACAAAACCACAGGUCUCUGCGAAGCCGUAAGGCGACGUAUAGGGGCUGACGCCUGCCCAGUGCCGGAAGGUUAAGGGGUGGGGUUAUCCUCGCUUCGGCGUGGAAAAGCUCUGAACCGAAGCCCCGGUGAACGGCGGCUGUAACUAUAACAGUCCUAAGGUAGCGAAAUUCCUUGUCGGGUAAGUUCCGACCCGCACGAACGGCGUAACAAUCGGAGCACUGUCUCAACGAAGGACCCGGUGAAAUUGAACUACGCGUGAAGAUGCGCGUUACCCGCAGCAGGACAAAAAGACCCCGUGGAGCUUUACUGCAGCUUGGCAUUGUGUUUGGGCAUGGUUUGUGUAGCAUAGGUGGGAGGCCGUGAAACUGGGGCGCUAGCCUCGGCGGAGCCGCCCGUGAAAUACCACCCUGACCCUGUCUUGACCCUAACCCCACACCGUUAGCCGGGUGGGGGACCGUGCCUGGUAGGCAGUUUGACUGGGGCGGUCGCCUCCUAAAAGGUAACGGAGGCGCCCAAAGGUUCCCUCAGGCUGAAUGGAAACCAGCCUAAGAGUGUAAAGGCAUAAGGGAGCUUGACUGCAAGACCAACGCGUCGAGCAGAGACGAAAGUCGGGCUUAGUGAUCCCACGGUUCCGUGUGGAAGGGCCGUGGCUUACCGGAUAAAAGCUACCCCGGGGAUAACAGGCUGGUGAAGUCCAAGAGUCCAUAUCGACGACUUCGCUCGGCACCUCGAUGUCGGCUCAUCGCAUCCUGGGGCUGAAUAAGGUCCCAAGGGUCGGGCUGUUCGCCCGUUAAAGCGGUACGCGAGCUGGGUUCAGACCGUCGUGAGACAGGUCGGUCUCUAUCCGCUGUGGGCGCAAGGGACUUGCGGAGAGCUGCCCCUAGUACGAGAGGACCGGGGUGGACAGACCGCUGGUGUGCCAGUUGUCGUGCCAACGGCAUCGCUGGGUAGCUAUGUCUGGCAGAGAUAACCGCUGAAAGCAUCUAAGUGGGAAACUCGCUCCUAGAUCAGGUCCCUCACUCUGUGCUCCGCACAGAGGUAAGGCCGCAGGUAGACUACCUGCUUGAUAGGCGGCAGGUGUAAGCACAGCAAUGUGUUCAGCUAAGCCGUACUAAUGGCCGAGGACUUGCCAU
rnacentral:rRNA from 1 species